GAUGAACGCUGGCGGCGUGCCUAAUACAUGCAAGUCGAGCGAACAGACGAGGAGCUUGCUCCUCUGACGUUAGCGGCGGACGGGUGAGUAACACGUGGACAACCUACCUAUAAGACUGGGGUAACUUCGGGAAACCGGAGCUAAUACCGGAUAAUAUAUUGAACUGCAUGGUUCAAUAGUUAAAGACGGUUUUGCUGUCACUUAUAGAUGGAUCCGCGCCGGAUUAGCUAGUUGGUGAGGUAACGGCUUACCAAGGCGACGAUGCGUAGCCGACCUGAGAGGGUGAUCGGCCACACUGGAACUGAGACACGGCCCAGACUCCUACGGGAGGCAGCAGUAGGGAAUCUUCCGCAAUGGGCGAAAGCCUGACGGAGCAACGCCGCGUGAGGGAUGAAGGUCUUCGGAUCGUAAAACGCUGUUAUUAGGAAAGAACAAAUGUGUAAGUAACUAUGCACGUCUUGACGGUACCUAAAGAGAAAGCCACGGCUAACUACGUG
rnacentral:rRNA from 1 species